GUCAACUCAACAUGUAUAUAUAUAUAGAACAAACCUACUAUUGUUAUUAUUAUUUACAAAAGACACCGAGGAAAACUUAAAUUUGACACUUCACCCCCCAAGCGUGCAAUAAACAAAUUUCUACAGUCACACAGGUUAUAUAAAUAAAACCUUGGAAAGAUGCAUCCAAGUUCCACUCGUGUGAAUUAGCUCUCUUCUAUAUAUAUAUACAUGUUGAGUUGACCUUCAUACUGAUAAUAUAGAUUUUGACCCUCACCUAAACCUCAUAUCCUG
rnacentral:misc_RNA from 1 species